UUCCCUACGGGAGGCAGCAGUAGGGAAUAUUGCUCAAUGGGGGAAACCCUGAAGCAGCAACGCCGCGUGGAGGAUGAAGGUUUUCGGAUUGUAAACUCCUUUUGUUAGAGAAGAUAAUGACGGUAUCUAACGAAUAAGCACCGGCUAACUCCGUGCCAGCAGCCGCGGUAAUACGGUGGGUGCAAGCGUUACUCGGAAUCACUGGGCGUAAAGAGCGCGUAGGCGGGAUAGCACGUCAGAUGUGAAAUCCUAUGGCUUAACCAUAGACCUGCAUUUG
rnacentral:rRNA from 1 species